GGCAUAAAGGGAGGCCCAGGGGAUGGAGGCAGAGGGGACAGUCCCCAGGCCCUGGCCCUGAUUUUCAGGUGGCCACUGGUCAGAACUGUCAGCUGUGCCUGUCCCCCAGACUGCAAAUUGAAAACAGCAAAUGUAGCUCUAUUCUUUUCUAUUUUCCUCCCCCCUCCAUCUCUGCCCCUUUUUUCUUGUUUCUUUCUUUCUUUUCUUUUUUUUUUUGUCAAUGAGGAAUACAAGGCCACUGCCAAAAACAUAUCCCACACAAUCAAACAUCAGAUGGUGACUCCUUUCCCACAGCUUGUGAGAAAUGCUCCUUCAGAACUCGAUCUUGAAGGGUACAGUAAAAGACAGACGCACGCACACACAGACGCCCACAAACCUUCAGCCUGAGGUGGAGACUUCCGUUCUAUUUUUCUCAGCCUAUUCCGGGAUCUGGACACAUGAGAGAACAGAACAUAUGACAUCAAUUAAAACAUCACUCGAUUUUCA
rnacentral:lncRNA from 1 species